rnacentral:rRNA from 1 species
UACAGAGGUCCCAAGCGUUGUUCGGAUUCACUGGGCGUAAAGGGUGCGUAGGUGGUGAGGUAAGUCGGAUGUGAAAUCUCGGAGCUUAACUCCGAAAUGGCAUUGGAAACUACCUUGCUAGAGGGUUGGAGGGGGGACUGGAAUUCUCGGUGUAGCAGUGAAAUGCGUAGAUAUCGAGAGGAACACCAGUGGCGAAGGCGAGUCCCUGGACAACUCCUGACACUGAGGCACGAAAGCUAGGGGAGCAAACAGG